rnacentral:tRNA from 1 species
GAGGGUAUAGUUUAGUGGUAGAAUAUGUGCCUAGCAUGCACAAGGUCCUGGGUUGAAUCCCUAGUAUCCAUCA